rnacentral:rRNA from 1 species
AACGAACGCUGGCGGCAGGCCUAACACAUGCAAGUCGAGCGAGGACUUCGGUCCUAUCGGCGGACGGGUGAGGAACGCGUGGGAACGUGCCCUUGUCUUCGGAAUAGCCCUGGGAAACGGGGAGUAAUACGGGAUGAGCGCUUAGGGGGAAAGAUUUAUCGGCGAAGGAUCUGCCCGCGUUGGAUUAGGUAGUUGGUUGGGUAAUAGCCUCCCAAGCGGACGAUGCAUAGCUGGGUUGAGAGGAAGGUCAGCCACUCCGGGACUGAGACACGGCCCAGACUCCUACGGGAGGCAGCAGUGCGGAAUCUUAGACAAUGGCGGGAACCCUGAUCUAGCCAUGCCGCGUGAGCGAUGAAGGCCUUAGGGUUGUAAAGCUCUUUCAGCUGGGAAGAUAAUGACGGUACCAGCAGAAGAAGCCCCGGCUAACUCCGUG